rnacentral:lncRNA from 1 species
GUAAAGAUUUUGGUGGUAUAUUUCACUUUUGCUCUACAGCAGCUAUUGUCCUUGAUAGAUUUUAAAAUAGGCCCAGAAUGUGGCAGUUCAAACAAGCCUGACAGUGACAGUUCUUUCAAAAUACAGAAAACCUUGUUUGAUAUCAAUUUGACAGUGCUAUUCUUGAAUUUUAUUUGCCUACAACAAAUGCCUAAGGAAUCCAGAAGCAGC